UACGUAGGGUGCGAGCGUUGUCCGGAAUUAUUGGGCGUAAAGAGCUUGUAGGUGGUUUGUCGCGUCUGCUGUGAAAAUCCGAGGCUCAACCUCGGACUUGCAGUGGGUACGGGCAGACUAGAGUGUGGUAGGGGAGACUGGAAUUCCUGGGUGUAGCGGUGGAAUGCGCAGAUAUCAGGAGGAACACCGAUGGCGAAGGCAGGUCUCUGGGCCAUUACUGACACUGAGAAGCGGAAAGCAUGGGGAGCGAA
rnacentral:rRNA from 1 species